rnacentral:lncRNA from 1 species
GGAAGAAUGGCCCUUUGGAAUGAAUUGUUUCAUUCCCCCAGCUACCUCCCCCUGCCCGGGGUCUGUGGCGCCUCUGGCCAAAGAAUUCACAUGGCCAAGUGAGGGCCAAUGCUCCAGCUGGAAGGUGGCACCUGGACUGGGCCAGGGCCGGACAGCGGGGAACAGGGAGCCUCAGCCCUCUCGUCUGGCUCACGGAGGACGGGUGGAGUCCGCCGCUGCUGGUUCAACUGCUGUGCAGUCACACAUCAUGGAGCCUCUGGGAGCUCCACUCUGCACCUGCAGGCUGGAGUGAACACAGCAGAGGCCCAGCGCUAUGAUGAAACAGCUCUGACCUGACAGACCCCCGAAAGUGGUCCUCGAGCCACACUGUGGGGGCUGCUGGUCCAGCAACAGCCAGGCAACCACCAGAAGAGCAAAGAACUGUCACAACAGCAAAGAGGAAUAAAAAUAAUCACAGGAAGGGCAGACACUUAGCCUGGGGAUGUGAAGAGGCAGGGAAGAAAGCUGGGC